rnacentral:rRNA from 1 species
AUGGAUCCCGCGCUCAAAGCUUACCUCGACAAGAUGAGCGACGAGGCCACCGCCCGCGCCAACAAGCAAGACGGCGACAACAAUGCCAUCCUCCAGGCCUUGGCGACGCAAACGGCACGGAUCGACUCUCUUGUCACCUGGAAGCCGGAGUUGGAGGCGCGGUUCGCGCAAUUGGAGCUCUCGGUUGCGGCUCUCCAAGCCGCAUCGUCUUCAACUGCACCAUCCAUCGGAUCGCCGCCGCUUGCGACCCCUACCAUGGUCGCGCGCGAGAUCCAAGGGCAAUCAGGCCACGGCGUUCCUGGGGGAUCCUUGUCGGUGACCCCCGAGUCACCGUCGACUUCCCCGGUCACGGGACUGGUGCAAGUAGCAGCAGGUCAAUCUGGGACGGCACAAGCUCAAGUUGCAUAUGGAAGUGCAUUUAACAAUCUCCCUGCUCAAACAACUCAAGCUUAUGGCAUGCCUUACGCAUACACUAAUCCCAUGGCGGGCUAUCAAGAUGUGCAAGCUAGUGGACAUGCUGGCUACCCAGUUGCCAGUUAUGAUCAGAAUGCCAUCCCCUACUAUACAAUCUAUCCUGGCUACCCUGCAGGUUAUGAUCAGAAUGGCCUCCCCUACUAUACUGGCUACCCAGCAGGUGAUGAUCAGAAUGCCAUGCACUUCUAUCUUGUCGCCUAUGCUGCAACUGCGGUGGGCGUCCCAGCAACUGAUGCUGCCAACAUGGACGGCAAUGCUGGAUCUCCUGCCGGCGCCGGGCAGGCCGAAUCGACGGGCCACAUCACACUUGCAUCAGAUGCUCCUCCCGUCGCUGCAAUCGGCUCUCCGCUACUGGAGAAGUGA